rnacentral:rRNA from 1 species
GGGAUAACAGGCUGAUACCGCCCAAGAGUUCAUAUCGACGGCGGUGUUUGGCACCUCGAUGUCGGCUCAUCACAUCCUGGGGCUGAAGUAGGUCCCAAGGGUAUGGCUGUUCGCCAUUUAAAGUGGUACGCGAGCUGGGUUUAGAACGUCGUGAGACAGUUCGGUCCCUAUCUGCCGUGGGCGUUGGAAGAUUGAGAGGGGUUGCUCCUAGUACGAGAGGACCGGAGUGAAUGCACCACUGGUGUACGGGUUGUGAUGCCAAUUGCAUUGCCCGGUAGCUAAGUGCGGAAGAGAUAACCGCUGAAAGCAUCUAAGCGGGAAACUUGCCUCGAGAUGAGUCUUCCCUGGGACUUUGAGUCCCCAGAAGGGCCGUUGAAGACGACGACGUAGAUAGGCCGGGUGUGUAAGCGCAGCGAUGCGUUGAGCUAACCGGUACUAAUGACCCGAGAGGCUUAACCUUACAACACCGAAGGUGUUU